AUCCUUGUGCAAGGACGGACCCCGUGGAGUGAAGUUUCGACUGACCAGGGGAAUUGCUGAUUGCAAACUGCUCCUUAAUCCUUCCACAGGCUUCGGUUCUGUGGGGAAUUUUUGGACUUCCCGAACAACUUUCUUUGUUCUCAACUGCUGGA
rnacentral:snRNA from 1 species